GUCUUUAUACAGCAUUUAUGGGAUGUUUUAUGUAUACAAUAUUUGGAAGCUGUAAAGACUUGACAAUUGGACCAACUGCAAUUAUGUCAUUAAUGACUGCGGAAUAUGUUGGUGCUGGAGGAAUUCCAUAUGUUUUGAUAAUGACUUUUCUUUCUGGUUGUUUGCAGCUUCUUAUGGGAAUUUUACAUCUUGGAUUUCUUGUGAACUUUAUAUCUGCAUCUGUUAUAAGUGGUUUCACAUCUGCAGCUGCUAUUACAAUAGCUUCAACUCAAUUAGCUGGUCUUCUUGGAGUAAAAGUUAAAUCUCAAGAAUUUUUUACCUCAAUUUAUGAAAUCUUUUCAAAGAUACAUACAGCAAAUUAUUGGGAUACUAUUAUGGGAAUUUUGUGCGUAAUAAUUCUGUUAUUACUUAGGUAUUUUAAAGAAUUAAAAUUUAGAGAAGACUCAACAAUUACUCCAAAAUUGAGAAAAAUUUUGUCUACAGUUUGGUGGAUGAUUACAACAGGAAAAAAUGCUUUGAUUGUUCUUGUCUGUGGAGGUUUAGCAUCUAUUCUUUUAAUUUAUAACAUAUCUCCAUUUACACUUACUCAGGUUAUCAAAGCUGGUUUGCCACCAUUUGAACCACCACCAUUCUCUGUUGACGUCUAUGAUAAUUCAACUAAUAAAACUGAGCACAAAGAUUUUAUUAGAAUAGUUCAGGAUUUGAGAAUUGGUGUGAUUAUGAUUCCUGUGAUUAGCAUCUUGGAAGCAAUUGCUAUUGCCAAGGCUUUUGCUAAAGGAAAGAAACUUGAUGCAUCACAAGAAAUGAUAGCUUUAGGAAUUGGUAACAUAAUGGGUUCAUUUGUUUCUUCAUUUCCUGCUACUGGAAGUUUUUCAAGGACUGCAAUAAAUUAUAGCAGCGGUGUCAAAACUCAGUUUGGCGGAGUAUUUACAGGAACUACAGUAAUUCUUGCAUUGUGCGUCUUGUCUCCAUAUUUUCGUUACAUUCCUAAGCCGUCUUUAAGUGCCAUCAUAAUUGUUGCCGUUCUUAAUAUGGUGCAUUACAAAGAUAUUCCAGUUAUGUGGAGGACAAACAAACUUGAUCUGUUACCUUUUCUUGCUACUUUUAUUUGUUCAUUUGUAAUCGGGUUGGAAUAUGGAAUUAUUAUUGGUAUGUCCCUUGCAUUGAUGAUAAUCCUAUUUCAACAAGCAAGACCAAAAAUAACAUUUAAAGAUAAACUGACCUCACAGGGACAAAAAUAUUUAUUCGUCCAACCUGAUAGAACAGUAUUGUUUCCUGCUACCGAUUAUCUUACCAGUAAAAUUACACAGAAACUCCCAGAUAAUAAAGAUUUUCAAAAUUAUUUCGUAGUGAUCGACGGUGAAUAUAUCAUAAGUUGCGAUUAUACAAUGGCUGUUGCAAUGAAGAAUAUGAUUGAAAACUUCAGUAAAAUGAACAUAAUUACAGUUUUUGUUAAUUUGAAACAACAUGUUAUUGAUACUAUAAAAGGUGCAAAUCCUAUUGUUUUCUAUUACUGCCCAUCUGAAUCUCAUAUUGAAGAAUUAUUUCAAAGAUGUUGAUUUUUGUGUAAAUGUCUGCUUUCUCUACCUGCCAAUCAUUCUUUAUUUAUUUCUCUUUAGUUUCUAGAGCUUUCUAUGCAUUUAAGGUUAUUUAAAUCGUAAUACAGAAUGGGUUCGGGAUCUUCCGGUCUCCAUAAACCGUCAAGAGUCAGAUGGAAAAUUGGACCAAGACACUCUGGAGCAUCUCUUGGACUCAAAUUACUCCUA
rnacentral:misc_RNA from 1 species